GACGGGACCGCACAAGCGGUGGAUGAUGUGGUUAAUUCGAUGCAACGCGAAAACCUUACCACCUUGACAUGUACGGAACCCUUAGAGAUAGAGGGGUGCUCGAAAGAGAGCCGUAACACAGGUGCUGCAUGGCUGUCGUCAGCUCGUGUCGUGAGAUGUUGGGUUAAGUCCCGCAACGAGCGCAACCCUUGUCAUUAGUUGCUACAUUCAGUUGGGCACUCUAAUGAGACUGCCGGUGACAAGCCGGAGGAAGGUGGGGAUGACGUCAAGUCCUCAUGGCCCUUAUAGGUGGGGCUACACACGUCAUACAAUGGCUGGUACAAAGGGUUGCCAACCCGCGAGGGGGAGCCAAUCCCAUAAAGCCAGUCGUAGUCCGGAUCGUAGUCUGCAACUCGACUACGUGAAGUCGGAAUCGCUAGUAAUCGUGGAUCAGAAUGUCACGGUGAAUACGUUCCCGGGUCUU
rnacentral:rRNA from 1 species